rnacentral:tRNA from 2 species
GGCGGAGUAGCUCAGAUGGUGAGAGCGCACGACUCAUAAUCGUGAGGUCGCGGGUUCGAGUCCCGCCUCCGCUA